GGAGAGUAUCCUAAGGCCAGCGAGAGAACUGUUGUUAAGGAACUCGGCAAAAUGACCCCGUAACUUAGGGAUAAGGGGUGCCACCAUCAGGUGGCCGCAGCGAAUAGGCCCAAGCGACUGUUUACCACAAACAUAGGUUUCUGCUAAGUCGCAAGACGAUGUAUAGGAGCUGACGCCUGCCCGGUGCUGGAAGGUUAAGGGGAUCUGUUAGAGCAAUCGAAGCAGUGA
rnacentral:rRNA from 1 species